rnacentral:rRNA from 1 species
GACGAACGCUGGCGGCGUGCUUAACACAUGCAAGUCGAACGCUGAAGCUUGGUGCUUGCACUGGGUGGAUGAGUGGCGCACGGGUGUGUAAUACGUGUGUAACCUGCCCUUGACUCUGGGAUAAGCCUGGGAAACUGGGUCUUAUACUGGAUACGACAUGCCACUGCAUGGUGGUGUGUGGAAAGGGUUUUACUGGUUUUGGAUGGGCUCACGGCCUAUCAGCUUGUUGGUGGGGUAAUGGCCUACCAAGGCGACGACGGGUAGCCGGCCUGAGAGGGUGACCGGCCACACUGGGACUGAGACACGGCCCAGACUCCUACGGGAGGCAGCAGUGGGGAAUAUUGCACAAUGGGCGGAAGCCUGAUGCAGCAACGCCGCGUGAGGGAUGACGGCCUUCGGGUUGUAAACCUCUUUCAGCACGGAAGAAGCGAGAGUGACGGUACGUGCAGAAGAAGCGCCGGCUAACUACGUG